rnacentral:sRNA from 1 species
CAAAGAAUGGUAAAAAGAACCAGAAGAUGAAGA